rnacentral:rRNA from 2 species
ACCCUUUAAUGUUUGAUGUUCUAACGUGGACCCGUGAUCCGGGUUGCGGACAGUGUCUGGUGGGUAGUUUGACUGGGGCGGUCUCCUCCUAAAGAGUAACGGAGGAGCACGAAGGUUGGCUAAUCCUGGUCGGACAUCAGGAGGUUAGUGCAAUGGCAUAAGCCAGCUUGACUGCGAGCGUGACGGCGCGAGCAGGUGCGAAAGCAGGUCAUAGUGAUCCGGUGGUUCUGAAUGGAAGGGCCAUCGCUCAACGGAUAAAAGGUACUCCGGGGAUAACAGGCUGAUACCGCCCAAGAGUUCAUAUCGACGGCGGUGUUUGGCACCUCGAUGUCGGCUCAUCACAUCCUGGGGCUGAAGUAGGUCCCAAGGGUAUGGCUGUUCGCCAUUUAAAGUGGUACGCGAGCUGGGUUUAGAACGUCGUGAGACAGUUCGGUCCCUAUCUGCCGUGGGCGCUGGAGAACUGAGGGGGGCUGCUCCUAGUACGAGAGGACCGGAGUGGACGCAUCACUGGUGUUCGGGUUGUCAUGCCAAUGGCACUGCCCGGUAGCUAAAUGCGGAAGAGAUAAGUGCUGAAAGCA